UCAGUGUUUGUUGAAUGAAUUGGUUAACGAAUGAAGAAAAGAGGAAGUAGGGACUAUUCAUUAGCCAAAUUUACUGUGUAUUUCAUGACAGACUUUGUUCUGGUUGCUGGGGAUACAUCAGUAAAUAGAACGGAUGGAGUUCCUGCCCUCAUGGAGCUCCCACUCUAAGGAGGAGGAUAUACUCAACAACAAACAAGUCAAUAUAUAGUAACCGACCUCACUUAACUCCACACUACACGUACCUGUUCCACAGUGCAUGAGAUGGGAAAGCGGCUACCUCUACGGCAGGAGGGGAAGAUCAUAACUGAGACCAUAUGGAGCCUGGCCUGACAAUCUCUAAGAGGAAGAGUAGUAUGCAGGUCAGCAUGGAGCUGACAGCUUGUCAUAUUCACCUUCAAACAGUGCCGGCAUGAAGAAUGACUGAUCUUCUGAGGCAAGGAAAGUCACCUGAGAAAAAGCAUGAAGCCUGAUGAACAAGGUUAGAGGAUGAGUAAAGCGAACCCGUCAGGCAGUGGAGCUCUUGUUUCAGACUUGAAGUGAAUCUCUGCUUGGCCUCAGCAGGUUCUGUAGCCCUGGGCAAAUCUGGCCCCUGGUCUGUACUUUCGGGACCCCCAGGAGAGGUAAAUGAGGUAAUACCGUCAAAUACUAGCACACAGUCAGUGCUCAAAAUAAGUAUCAGCUGUUACCAUCAUUACCACUACUUUGGGACGGAUCAGAUUUAUGAUAAGUAUACUGGAUACAAGAAGAAAAGUAAAUUAAGCCUUGGAUCCAAGGGGCUUACCACUUCUUGCAUCUGUUCCUGCUAGCCUCUUAGUUUUAAGAUUUGGUUUUGGUUAUUUUUUUCAUAAUUUGAAACAACUACGCGUCUUGAAGAGAUGCAGUCUCCAGAAAUCGAUACUGUUAGAAAUGCUGAGAAGGUCUGCCACUUCUAUCAAAGAUCAGAGCCAAUUCUUCUUGUUGACUAGUGUUACUGACAAUUCUGAUCUUUAAGAAUGUUGAGUGGUUUAUAAAGAGAGGAGUUUUUCUAAUUCUUCUCCCCAGAUGUUUACUACUGAAUCAUCUGUGCAGCUCAAUUCUGAAACUGCUAAAAGAAGGGAGGGCCCAGAAGACACUCUGGGGGUGGGGCCAGUGUGGGGAUGUUCCUUUGAGCUGGGGAGCCCCCCAAAUCUCACUCCACCUCUAGACUCAGCGUGUACCUCACACAGGAGCUCCUGUCAGUCUUGAACAGGAGCCAUGUAGAUCAUCCACCCUAGAUUUUCUGAAACAAUCCUACAUCCAAAUAUUAUUUUAUAUCAAUUUAACACUUGGCACUAGGACUCUGAGUUAACAUAAAUAUUCAUUACCAGAUGAGAAACAACUACGCUUCUCUCACGCUAUUAUCGAAUCCCCAGAUUUCCUAGACGGUCCUAGAUAUGUGACCUCCUUUCAGACAAUGUGCCCUGAUUCUUAGUAGUUAGUCCACAUCAGAAGCCUUACCUGCUCAGAUCUGCACCAAUUACUCAACUCCCAGCAGCUGUACACACCACCCAAUACUGUCUCCCAGGACCCUGACAAUCUGAGCCCUCUAGCCUCCUCAAAUGGGACAAUACCCAGGUGACACGAAUCCACUCCUACCUAGUCCUGUAACUUUUAAGACUUGUGGCUGGCAGAUGCCUAGUUUCCCCAAGCCUGGAAACACACAGGAUAUAGUACCUAACAUGCCAAAUUCAGUGAUCUCUCUCCUGAUUCAACUCUGUACCACUUCCUUAGGACAGUAAAAGUGUAUGCUGCACUGUUUUAUCAGAGAAAAACCAAAAGCAGCUUAAAAGAUCAGCAAGAUAGGUUUGCUUUAAAAAAUUAUGGUACGACUGUAUUUGGACACAAUAUUAAGUCACUGAAGAAUGUUUACUCAAAUGAAUGUUUACCGUGUUAAGUAAAACACAAAUCCAACAAAGUAUAAAAUAACAAUUUUGCAUAAAAUUUGAAAACAAAAAUACCAAAGCACAAAACCAGCAAUGUUUAUGUACAAUAUAAAGAGGACAAAAAGGAAAUAACCCAAAAUGUUAAUAUUAAGGUGUGGUGGAAUUACAACUGACAGUAAUUUUAUUUGUGCUUUCUGCAUUUAAAAGGUUAUAAAGAAACAUACAUUGCUUUUUGUCAUUUUAGUGUUAUCUUAAAAGCACUCCAUGGAAUAAAUUAACAUAUAAACAUACAAUGUAGUAUAGGUUACUGCAUUAUUUAGGAGUGGAAAAUCAGAAACCACAGAGGAAUAAAUAAACAAAUUAUAUAUUCACAUGAUAGACUAUUAGGCAUCCAUUAUAAGUGAUAAAACUAUAAGGUGGUUUAACGAGGAGAAGUGACCAAAAUUAUAUACAGAAUAAUUGUAAUUAUAUGAAAGUAUCAAUAGAAAAAAAGGGCAAAAAUGGUAUCAAACUGCUUUUGAAUUGUGGGCAAUUUCCCUUUCUAAUCUCAAAUUUUUCUAUAAUUACAACCAGAAAAAAAAACAACUUUGAAACAUUACUGGAAAUACAUUUAACACAUCAAACUGUUAAUAGUGGGGACUCUGAGGAAGAGCAGGGUUUUGGGGAUGGGUUAUUUUAUAGUCUUUUAUAUUCACUUAUGUAAUUUCAAAGAUAAAAAUGACAUUUAAAACAACGAGCAUUUCAUUUGAAAGCCACUUACUCACUCCAAUUUUCUUCUUGGAAAAUACGUUUUCUAAUAGUACUCUUCAUGUCUCUGUGGUUUGUGAAAGCCCUGAGUGAAUCUGUAAGGAUUCAUCCUGAACUGGGGAAACGGUAUCAGGUGGUUUAAGGACAACAUCCUAAAAUGUAACAUGAAACCACCAGCUUUCUGGAUCAUGCCGUAUUUGUUUUCUGACAGAACUCUAUCAGCCAGACUCAGGCCUAGGUAAAUACUGGCACAUUAUGACCUGGGGGGUGUGGGAUGAAGGAAAGGAAUUCAGCUUAAGUUUCCCUCUCCUCCUGCUGGUCACUUCUCUCUUCCCGCCUCUCCGUCACAUACUGGGAGAGGAGGGCACAUGCCCUUCAAAACACCGACAGGCUUCCAAAGAAGAGUGGCCACUGAGACUCUGUAUUAUAAUUUCUUUGCCAGAUUGUGGUUCUCAAUUCUCAAAAGUAAGUAUAUUGGGGAGGAAAAACUACCAGGGAGAGGGAUAGAAAGAGGGAAAGACAGUGAAAACCAGGUAAAAGAAAGAGGGGUGGCUGAGGGAGAGAAGGGAGGUCAGGGGACGUUUUUAUGGGUAAAAGUACAAAAACGGGGAGGGAAGUUACAAAAAAGUUCUUGGCUCUGAAGCAGUAGUGCUCUUCUAUCUUCCAGCUAUUCUCAGUAAGAAAGAAAGGGUGUGCUUUGUUUUGACUGCAGCUGAACAGCAAAAACGAACGCGCACAGAGGUGAGUGUAGUCCGUGAAAAGAGUUGCCCAAGCAGGGGUCCCAGAGAAGUCACAAGAAGGCAACACACUCAGACUCUUCAGAGCACCCUGCCACAAGGCACUGCUGUUAACCUCAGAGCACAGCAGGGAGUGAGUCUGGCUGCAGGAACAGUCCCAACUCUUUCAUUUCUGACCAUCAAUCAAAUUUAUCUCCUAAGUGUUCAGUGCAAGGCUUUAUGCACUGGGCCCUCAAAUGCACACAGACAAUGUGGGAAAAAGCCACCUCCCUUCCACUAAGAAGCUACAUUCACAUUCACAUGCCUGUAAUGUAGACCGCUAUGAUCCUGGACCCUAAAAAAGCAUUUUCAAUAGAAAUGGGUAAGAGGAAGACCAAAUGCUCAUCAGGGACUUAAUUAUAUAUGAAUUCCUGGGGUACCAAUAAAGGAAGGGACUUCCAUAUCCAUUUCUAAACAUUCAGUAGGACUUGAAAGUCACAAAGUGUUUGUUAAGUUCAUUACUUCAGUAAC